UACGUAGGGGGCAAGCGUUGUCCGGAUUUAUUGGGCGUAAAGCGCGUGUAGGCGGCCAGGUAGGUCCGUUGUGAAAACUCGAGGCUCAACCUCGAGACGCCGAUGGAAACCAUCUGACUAGAGUCCGGAAGAGGAGAGUGGAAUUCCUGGUGUAGCGGUGAAAUGCGCAGAUAUCAGGAAGAACACCCAUGGCUAAGGCGGCUCUCUGGUACGGUACUGACGCUGAGACACGAAAGCGUGGGGAGCGAACAGG
rnacentral:rRNA from 1 species